rnacentral:rRNA from 1 species
UGGAGAAUCUUGCGCAAUGGGCGAAAGCCUGACGCAGCCACGCCGCGUGUGUGAUGAAGGCCUUCGGGUCGUAAAGCACUGUCGGGAGGGACGAAAGCUUCGGCUUGACGGUACCUCGCAAGAAAGCACCGGCUAACUCCGUGCCAGCAGCCGCGGUAAUACGGAGGGUGCAAGCGUUGCUCGGAUUUACUGGGCGUAAAGCGGGCGCAGGCGGCUGGACAAGUCGGGUGUGAAAGCCCGGGGCUCAACCCCGGAACUGCAUCCGAAACUGUUCGGCUUGAGUACGAUAGAGGUAAGCGGAAUUCCUGGUGUAGAGGUGAAAUUCGUAGAUAUCAGGAGGAACAUCAGCGGCGAAGGCGGCUUACUGGUUCGAUACUGACGCUCAUGCCCGAAAGCGUGGGGAGCAAACAGG